rnacentral:rRNA from 1 species
AACGAGCGCUGGCGGCAGGCCUAACACAUGCAAGUCGAGCGGACCUUUCGGGGUCAGCGGCGGACGGGGGAGUAACGCGUGGGAAUAUGCCCUUCUCUACGGAAUAGUCCUGGGAAACUGGGGGUAAUACCGUAUACGCCCUUUGGGGGAAAGAUUUAUCGGGGAAGGAUUAGCCCGCGUUGGAUUAGGUAGUUGGUGGGGUAAUGGCCUACCAAGCCGACGAUCCAUAGCUGGUUUGAGAGGAUGAUCAGCCACACUGGGACUGAGACACGGCCCAGACUCCUACGGGAGGCAGCAGUGGGGAAUCUUAGACAAUGGGGGCAACCCUGAUCUAGCCAUGCCGCGUGAGUGAUGAAGGCCUUAGGGUUGUAAAGCUCUUUCAGCUGGGAAGAUAAUGACGGUACCAGCAGAAGAAGCCCCGGCUAACUCCGUG